CCUACGGGUGGCAGCAGUGAGGAAUAUUGGUCAAUGGGCGGGAGCCUGAACUAGCCAAGUCGCGUGAGGGAAGACGGUCCUAUGGAUUGUAAACCUCUUUAGGCGGGGAGCAAUGCCGGGCACGCGUGCCCGGAGGGAGAGUACCCGCAGAAUAAGCAUCGGCUAACUCCGUGCCAGCAGCCGCGGUAAUACGGAGGAUGCGAGCGUUAUCCGGAUUUAUUGGGUUUAAAGGGUGCGUAGGCGGAUUUUUAAGUCAGCGGUAAAAUGUCCGGGCUCAACCCGGGCCGGCCGUUGAAACUGGGGAUCUUGAGUACUGGAGAGGCAGACGGAAUUCCUAGUGUAGCGGUGAAAUGCGUAGAUAUUAGGAGGAACACCAGUGGCGAAGGCGGUCUGCUGGACAGCAACUGACGGUGAGGCGCGAAAGCGUGGGGAGCAAACAGGAUUAGAUACCCUUGUAGUC
rnacentral:rRNA from 1 species